UACGUAGGUGGCAAGCGUUGUCCGGAAUUAUUGGGCGUAAAGCGCGCGCAGGCGGUCCUUUAAGUCUGAUGUGAAAGCCCACGGCUCAACCGUGGAGGGUCAUUGGAAACUGGGGGACUUGAGUGCAGAAGAGGAAAGCGGAAUUCCACGUGUAGCGGUGAAAUGCGUAGAGAUGUGGAGGAACACCAGUGGCGAAGGCGGCUUUCUGGUCUGUAACUGACGCUGAGGCGCGAAAGCGUGGGGGGCAAACAGG
rnacentral:rRNA from 1 species